rnacentral:rRNA from 1 species
CACAANNGNUGGAUGAUNUGNUUUAAUUNGAUNCAACGNGAAAAACCUUACCUACCCUUGACAUGCCAGGAAUCCUGCAGAGAUGUGGGAGUGCUCGAAAGAGAGCCUGGACACAGGUGCUGCAUGGCUGUCGUCAGCUCGUGUCGUGAGAUGUUGGGUUAAGUCCCGCAACGAGCGCAACCCUUGCCAUUAGUUGCUACGAAAGGGCACUCUAAUGGGACUGCCGGUGACAAACCGGAGGAAGGUGGGGAUGACGUCAAGUCCUCAUGGCCCUUAUGGGUAGGGCUACACACGUCAUACAAUGGCCGGUACAGAGGGCUGCCAACCCGCGAGGGGGAGCCAAUCCCAGAAAACCGGUCGUAGUCCGGAUCGCAGUCUGCAACUCGACUGCGUGAAGUCGGAAUCGCUAGUAAUCGCGGAUCAGCUUGCCGCGGUGAAUACGUUCCCGGGUCUUGUACACACCGCCCGUCACACCAUGGGAGCGGGUUCUGCCAGAAGUAGUUAGCCUAACCGCAAGGAGGGCGAUUACCACGGCAGGGUUCGUGACUGGGGUGAAGUCGUAACAAGGUAACCAAUCG